rfam:Ornithorhynchus anatinus chromosome X1, whole genome shotgun sequence.
CAGUGUGAGGAGGACACAUGUGGUGCAGUGUGCUAGUGGAAUAUGCUGCAUCAUGCGUAGCCUCCCCAAACUGU